rnacentral:lncRNA from 1 species
CAUUUAUCAAAAUUUGUUUAAAAGUAUCUUCUUUAGGAAAAAUUUUCUCCAGCUGCAAAGAGACGUCCUCCAAAGAAAAACAUGCUUCUGGAUUUCCAAGAGAGAUUGUACUUAAAUUCUUCUGUGAAAGGUUGAGGUUAUCUGGAUGUGAGCCAUUUAUUGGUGGAGUCUCACUCUGUCACCAGGCUGGAGUGCAGUGGUGCGAUUGACAUGACUGUUCCCCACUAAACCGUAAAAUUCCAGGGUGGCAUCUGAUAAUUGAGCUUCUAAAAGAGACUUUUGCCUACUCUACAGGCAUCAAAUUAAUAUAAUAUCUUCCCCUCAUUCCCUAUCUGUCUCCGAAGCACUG